AGGGGAGUGAAAAAGAAAAUAAAAGAAGAAUAAUGAAAGCAACAUUAUAAAGGAGAAAACGUGCACGCAAUAGAAGAAAGGCUCAACCUUCCUUGCAUUGGCUCACGUGUUCUAAUACGAAAGGCUCUCUAAUUCGUACAGAACGAAGAUUUAGAGAGUGAUAGAUCAAAGAUUUAUUCAACUUUGGAGAGGAGUCUCUCUCUUUCUAGCUGUUUCACACAGGUAUAGAGAUGUAGACAACCCGUCAAAAAAUUCUACACCAUCUCACACGUCAUGAUGCACAGUAGCGAGGGAGGACGAGGAAAUAGCGAGAGACCCCGAGAGAGUACCGACAAGAGCCGCCCUGGGGAAAAUGAAGCGGAUUCCAAAGCAUUCUUUUAAUUCAGGCUCAUAACGAUAGAUCUAGCGGCGUGCUUGAGAACCAACUCUGGCAGUCAGAAGAAGCAGGAGCAGCUCGACGUAUUUGGGGGCCUAAGAUUGUUUUAUCUUUGAGAUCUUCUUUAUAGUGGAUCGGCCUAAGACGAAAUCACAGAAAAGCUUUUUUUCUUUUUCAUUUUGUCUUUAAGGCUUUUUUGCAGUCGGCCUUCUUUGAGCCGGA
rnacentral:lncRNA from 1 species